rnacentral:rRNA from 1 species
UACGGGGGGAGCAAGCGUUGUUCGGAUUUACUGGGCGUAAAGGGCGCGUAGGCGGCGCAACAAGUCACUUGUGAAAUCUCCGGGCUUAACUCGGAAAGGUCAACUGAUACUGCGGGGCUAGAGUGCGGAAGGGGCAACUGGAAUUCUCGGUGUAGCGGUGAAAUGCGUAGAUAUCGAGAGGAACACCUGCGGCGAAGGCGGGUUGCUGGGCCGACACUGACGCUGAGGCGCGAAAGCCAGGGGAGCGAACGGG